UACGUAGGGGCGAGCGUUGUCCGGAAUCAUUGGGCGUAAAGAGCUCGUAGGCGGUUCAGUAAGUCAGGUGUGAAAGCUCCGAGCUCAACUCGGAGAGGCCACCUGAUACUGCUGUGACUAGAAUCCAGUAGGGGAGUGUGGAACUCCUGGUGUAGCGGUGAAAUGCGCAGAUAUCAGGAGGAACACCGGUGGGCGAAGGCGGGGUCUCUGGGCCGAUAC
rnacentral:rRNA from 1 species